rnacentral:rRNA from 1 species
UUUUUUUUUUUUUUUUUUUUUUUUUAAGCCCCUGUUAUGGGGGUGAAUUGGGGAGAGUGUGUUUUUUUUUUUGAUAAGAACCCAUAUUAUUUGUGAUUCAUAAUAACUUUUCGGAUCACAUUUUUAUGUGACAUAUCCUUCAAGUUUUUGACCUAUCAGCUUUAGACGGUAGGGUAUUGGCCUACAGUGGCAAUGACGGGUAACGGGGAAUUAGGGUUUGAUUUCGGAGAGGGAGCCUGAGAAACGGCUUCCACAUCUAAGGAAGGCAGCAGGCGCGCAAAUUACCCAAUCCUAAUACAGGGAGGUAGUGACAAGAAAUAACAAUACAGGACUUAAUUGUUUUGUAAUUGGAAUGAGUUAAGUAUAAACCCCUUUACAAGUAUCAAUUGGAGGGCAAGUUUGGUGCCAGCAGCCGCGGUAAUUUCAGCUUCAAUAGCGUAUAUUAAAGUUGUUGCAGUUAAAAAGCUCGUAGUUGGAUUUUUGUUAAUAUUUUAUAUUAUUAAUUUAUUAUUAUUAAUAUAAUAUUAACGUAAUUCAUAUUACUUUUUUUUAAGUAUAUGAAAUUUUACUUUGAGAAAAUUAGAGUGCUUAAAGCAGGCUUUUGCCUUGAAUACUCCAGCAUGGAAUAAUAUUAAAGAUUUUUAUCUUUCUUAUUGGUUCUAAGAUAGAAAUAAUGAUUAAUAGGGACAGUUGGGGGCAUUUGUAUUUAACAGUCAGAGGUGAAAUUCUUAGAUUUGUUAAAGACAAACUAAUGCGAAAGCAUUUGCCAAGGAUGUUUUCAUUAAUCAAGAACGAAAGUUAGGGGAUCGAAGACGAUCAGAUACCGUCGUAGUCUUAACCAUAAACUGGCAAAA